ACGGAAGGCCCUUCGGGGUACUCGAGUGGCGAACGGGUGAGUAACACGUGGGUGAUCUGCCCUGCACUUUGGGAUAAGCCUGGGAAACUGGGUCUAAUACCGAAUAGGACCACGGUCUGCAUGGAUUGUGGUGGAAAGCUUUUGCGGUGUGGGAUGGGCCCGCGGCCUAUCAGCUUGUUGGUGAGGUUACGGCUCACCAAGGCGACGACGGGUAGCCGGCCUGAGAGGGUGUCCGGCCACACUGGGACUGAGAUACGGCCCAGACUCCUACGGGAGGCAGCAGUGGGGAAUAUUGCACAAUGGGCGCAAGCCUGAUGCAGCGACGCCGCGUGAGGGAUGACGGCCUUCGGGUUGUAAACCUCUUUCGCCAGGGACGAAGCGCAAGUGACGGUACCUGGAGAAGAAGCACCGGCCAACUACGUGCCAGCAGCCGCGRUAAUACGUAGGGUGCGAGCGUUGUCCGGAAUUACUGGGCGUAAAGAGCUCGUAGGUGGUUUGUCGCGUUGUUCGUGAAAACUCACAGCUUAACUGUGGGCGUGCGGGCGAUACGGGCAGACUGGAGUACUGCAGGGGAGACUGGAAUUCCUGGUGUAGCGGUGGAAUGCGCAGAUAUCAGGAGGAACACCGGUGGCGAAGGCGGGUCUCUGGGCAGUAACUGACGCUGAGGAGCGAAAGCGUGGGGAGCGAACAGGAUUAGAUA
rnacentral:rRNA from 1 species